AUUGAACGCUGGCGGCAGGCCUAACACAUGCAAGUCGAGCGAGCGGCGUACGGGUGAGUAAUGUAUGGGGACUGCCCGAUAGAGGGGGAUAACUACUGGAAACGGUGGCUAAUACCGAAUACUGUUGGAUAACCCAUAUGGGAUUGGCUAGUAGGUAAGGUAAUGGCUUACAGAGGCGACGAUCCCUUGCUGGUCUGAGGGGAUGAUCAGCUACACUGGGACUGAGACACGGCCCAGAGUCCUAGGGAGGCAGAAGUGGGGAAGAUUGCACAAGGGGCGCAAGGCUGAUGCAGCCAGGCUGGGUGUAUGAAGAAGGCCCUAUGGUUGUAAAGUACUUUCAGUCGGGAGGCGUAACCGACAGAAGAAGCACCGGCGAACGCCGUGCCAGCAGCCGCGGUAAUAC
rnacentral:rRNA from 1 species